UACGUAGGGUGCAAGCGUUGUCCGGAAUUAUUGGGCGUAAAGAGCUUGUAGGCGGUUUGUCGCGUCUGCUGUGAAAUUUCGGGGCUCAACCCCGAACUUGCAGUGGGUACGGGCAGACUAGAGUGUGGUAGAGGAGACUGGAAUUCCUGGUGUAGCGGUGAAAUGCGCAGAUAUCAGGAGGAACACCGAUGGCGAAGGCAGGUCUCUGGGCCAUAACUGACGCUGAGAAGCGAAAGCAUGGGGAGCGAACAGG
rnacentral:rRNA from 1 species